UCCCUCACCUCACCCAUUGAAGUCCCACCACCCCCUUCCGCUUCUCUCUCAACCCCGAGUACCCCUUCCUUGAUAGCCUCCGUUCCUUCACCCUCUCCGUCCAUCACACAUCCAACUCCCUUACCCCGUGCCCCUCCCACCUGCCCUAUUCCUCCGAAUCUCUGUCUCCCUGCUGACCCAGGAUCCCUCCCUCCCGCGGCCGGUUUGCCGUCCCUAAUCUCUGCCCUCACCGCCCUAACCCAGCCCCCUGUUACCACCUCUCCUCCAGUGUUACCUCCUCCUCCCGAAGUCCCGG